rnacentral:misc_RNA from 1 species
GAUGAAGAACGCAGCGAAAUGCGAUAAGUAAUGUGAAUUGCAGAAUUCAGUGAAUCAUCGAAUCUUUGAACGCACAUUGCGCCCGCCAGUAUUCUGGCGGGCAUGCCUGUCCGAGCGUCUUUUCAACCCUCGAACCCCUCCGGGGGGUCGGCGUUGGGGAUCGGCCCUGCCUCUGGCGGUGGCCGUCUCCGAAAUACAGUGGCGGUCUCGCCGCAGCCUCUCCUGCGCAGUAGUUUGCACACUCGCAUCGGGAGCGCGGCGCGUCCACAGCCGUUAAACACCCAACUUCUGAAAUGUUGACCUCGGAUCAGGUAGGAAUACCCGCUGAACUUAAGCAUAUCAAUAAGCGGAGGA